rnacentral:rRNA from 1 species
CAAUAGCGUAUAUUAAAGUUGUUGCGGUUAAAAAGCUCGUAGUUGGAUUUCUGUUGGGAACGACCGGUCCGCCCAUUGGGUGUGUAUCUGGCUUGUUCUCGGCAUCUUCUUGGUGAACGUUGCUGCACUUGACUGUGUGGAGCGCUACCCAGGACUUUUACUUUGAGGAAAUUAGAGUGUUUCAAGCAGGCAUAUGCCUUGAAUACAUUAGCAUGGAAUAAUAAGAUAGGACCUCGGUUCUAUUUUGUUGGUUUCUAGAGCUGAGGUAAUGAUUAAUAGGGAUAGUUGGGGGCAUUCGUAUUUAACUGUCCGAGGUGAAAUUCUUGGAUUUGUUAAAGACGGACUACUGCGAAAGCAUUUGCCAAGGAUGUUUUCAUUGA